UAAGAGCCAUCCAUUCAUCAUGUUAGCAGCAGGAGAACCCACCACAGGCUAUGGGAGUUUAUCUCCUGACAACCCAUCGUUCCCUUUCCCCUCGAUACAGUCCGGCGCGGCUGCCAGGGCCCGUCUCGUGCCCCUCCGACAGAAUCUUUUGCCUGGCUCCCCUUUGCGAUUCUCCCGAUCCGAUUUGGUGACGAGGAAAGAUCAUUUCCCCCUGUCCACAAAACAGCUUGGCGGCAGGAUCCGAUGUCUGCGUGAUGGCGCUCUACCGGCACGACCGAACGGUGCAGCUCGUUGCAGCGGCUCUCCGGGAUUAUCUCCUGUUAUUUCCCAUGCCUGUGUCGUGCCUGCGUCCCCGAGGCGGCGUCCGUGUGCCAUGCUCCUCCUCUCCCUUCUCGAUGUUAAUUCCGAUGAAGGUAACUCUGACGUGGCUGAGAAGGUUGGAUUUGAUCAGUUUGCCGGAUCGGACCGGCCAUUGGGGUCCGGAGCAGGUUUAUUUCCGGCCGGGGAGGAGGCUCUGGUAGCCACGCUGACCUCAGCCAGUUCUCUGGAGCAUGUAUUGUCGCUAUUCCCCUUCUCAGUGUGGCUCCUGCGUCCAUGGUCACAUGGUCCUCCUCAGUUGCCGAUCAUAUUUCGUGGUGCCAUUGUAGAGAGCCGGCCUCAUGGACCGGAUGCGGGUGGUGGUCCAGCUCUUUGGGGCCUCCUCACGUGCUUCCCGUCGACGGCAUCGGCAGUCACGAGGAGAUAGAGCAGAAGGUGUGGCUGAGGCUAGGACCGGCGCGACGGUGCCACGCGGUGAGGAACCUGCGGUCGCUGUCCUUGGAAGACCUACCGCAGACUCCGGUCACGACGAGCCUGCACGCCUAACCCUGGACGAGCUCAGCAUCUCACCGUCAAGUACCUCGACCUCUAUAGCGACGGCAUCCAGGGGCCGCAAGUGGCUGGCGUAUGUGGUGUAUCUAGGGAUGCUGAGACACCCGCACUUGCCGCAAUGGUAUCCAUUCUCUGUGAAAGCUGGGCUCCUUCGUGUGAGGCUGUGAGCAGGAAGUCCUGCUCCUGUAUUUUGUUUGCGGCAAGGGCGACGAACUUCCGAGUACGACGACAGGACGGUGACUACUCUGCCUUCUUCUAUAUUGAUGAACUUCAAUUGUAGUUAAGAAGAAUACUCUCAAUUCAUGAUGAUCCAAUGCAUGAAUAAAAAUAUGUCUUUUGGAUAGUUUAUAUUUGAUUCUUUAUUAUCAAUUUAUUAUUCAUGUUUAAGCAAACAAAAUGUUACAACCAUGCCGAGAAGGCCAUAAGGCACUACAAAUGUAUUCAUUAUUUUGUAAAACUUCAAGUACCUAUGUAUGAUUCACAUAUAUAUAACAUGAGUAAAAUUACACUC